rnacentral:lncRNA from 1 species
UCAACGCCGGGACGGGACGAGUGUUUCAUGUGGUCUCAUCUUUGGACUGAUACUGCAUACAUUUCUCAGCAGCUCCGACAGGUCUGUCUUCACCCUGCACAGUUUACACUGUUGUAGCUGCAGCUCUGAAGUUAAAGGCAGUUCACUGCAGACAGGAGAUGAGGAUGUUUCCCACCUGCACCUGUGUCUGGAUGGACUGAAGACUUCAUCUGUCCUGCAGCUGAGCACCACCAUCUAGUGUCACUGUAAGAGUUUUUUUUAAAACUACAUUAUUUUAUUCUGUUGUUGGAAGAAAUUGUUCAAGUGCAGCA